GACGAACGCUGGCGGCGUGCUUAACACAUGCAAGUCGAGCGGUAAGGCCCUUUCGGGGGUACACGAGCGGCGAACGGGUGAGUAACACGUGGGUAACCUGCCCUUAGCUCUGGGAUAAGCCUGGGAAACUGGGUCUAAUACCGGAUAUGACUCCAUGACGCAUGUUGUGGGGUGGAAAGCCUUGUGCGGCUAGGGAUGGGCCUGCGGCCUAUCAGCUUGUUGGUGGGGUGAUGGCCACCAAGGCGACGACGGGUAGCCGGCCUGAGAGGGCGACCGGCCACACUGGGACUGAGACACGGCCCAGACUCCUACGGGAGGCAGCAGUGGGGAAUCUUGCGCAAUGGGCGAAAGCCUGACGCAGCGACGCCGCGUGGGGA
rnacentral:rRNA from 1 species